CGGAAUAACAGUUGGAAACGACUGCUAAUACCGGAUGAUGACGUAAGUCCAAAGAUUUAUCGCCGGGGGAUGAGCCCGCGUAGGAUUAGCUAGUUGGUGUGGUAAAGGCGCACCAAGGCGACGAUCCUUAGCUGGUCUGAGAGUAUGAUCAGCCACAUUGGGACUGAGACACGGCCCAGACUCCUACGGGAGGCAGCAGUGGGGAAUAUUGGACAAUGGGCGAAAGCCUGAUCCAUCAAUGCCGCGUGAGUGAUGAAGGCCUUAGGGUUGUAAAGCUCUUUUACCCGGGAUGAUAAUGACAGUACCGGGAGAAUAAGCUCCGGCUAACUCCG
rnacentral:rRNA from 1 species